rnacentral:ncRNA from 2 species
GAACAAGAUAGAGGCGCAAGUUGCAAUAGUAGACUUUCUGGAGGAUGGACAAUACCGUUGAAGGGGAGGGAAAGGGUAACUUGCCGAAGUGAUAAAUCCAUUGUCUCGGUUUAUUUGCUGGUUUUGCAUUGAAGAAAUGCAAGAUUGUCAGAAUCAGAUUAGGAUUCUGGAGGGCUAUCUAAACG